GGAAAGAGAACUACAGGAAGUAGCUGGUCGGGGACUUUCCAGUAGCUCUUUUGUUUUGCUUUGAUCGCUGCUGUCAAGUAGUUUCUGCGACACGAACAAGCUUCUACAGUCUCAGCACCGAAUACGGUGGUUUCAUUUCUAGGUUAGUGUUACUGUGACAAGGUGAGUACCUGUUACUCAGUGUCACGCACGUCAAUAAAAGACCAGGAACAGUUAUUGGAGUAUUGGGCUAAUUCACGUGUGAUUAACAAGAAGACAGAGAAGAACCAAACCUCAGAGAUCUACAUACCGACUGGGGAGUUCUAGGUUAGUGUUACUGUGACAAGGUGAGUACCGGAUACUCGGUGUCACGCACAUCAAUAAAAGACCAGAAAGCGGUAUUGGGCUGAUUCACGUGUGACCAACAAGAGGACAGAGAAGAACCAAACCUCAGAGAUCUACAUACUGACUGGGGAGGAACAAAUGGAGUUUGAUAAAUUUGCAGUUUAUUUCUCGGAGGAGGAGUGGGGCUAUUUAGCUGAAGGACAAAAAGAGCUUUAUAAGGAUGUGAUGAUGGAGAAUUACCAGACCCUCAGGUCUCUAGGUAAUAAUUAAUAUAACUCUACAGGGAAUGGGACAAAGAGGAAAACACAUAUAAGUGACACAUAAUCUGGUCUUGUGCUAAACAGGUAUAAAAUCUAUGUGUUGGUUAUUAGUCAUUUGUUAAUUAAAGGGACAUGAAACCCAAUUUUUUAUUUUAUAAUUCAG